GUUUUAAUAAUUUAAAUAAAAUAUUGAUUUUGUAAUUCAACUAUAUCUAUCGCAGAUUUAAAACU
rnacentral:tRNA from 1 species